rnacentral:lncRNA from 1 species
AACAUUAGUUAAGGACCUUCUUUGUAAUGUGUCAACAGAUUUGGAGAAAACACGAGCUAUUUGGAUAUGGAUUUGUCAUCAUAUAGGUAACUAGACAUUUAGUAAAAAUAACAUUCACUUUGAAAUUCCAACCUUAAUUUUUGUGUGCAUCAGGGUGCAUGUUUCAUGUACGUUUGUAGUUUAAAGUCAUACAAUUUAAAGCGGCACUGUCAUGCCAAACUUACCUUUCCCUAAAUGCUUCCUCUUCUCUUCCUCUCUCAGGAUCUGUUCUUCAUUUCUUCCUGUCUGCUCUAGUUUUCUUUAAAACAAAAGACUAAGUAGGGACUAUUUUUCUUAUGUAGGUUUCCUAUGCCUGACCAUCUAUGACCAGCGGAGGAGCAAAGUGUGCUCAAUUUCAUGUGGUGAGAGAAAUUUUCCCACAAUUCUCACCUUUCCUCCGUGUUCUCGCAAUGCCUCCUUUCCGUAUUCCAGAACGCUGGCAAAACGAACAAAUUUCGCCCUAACAGAAUUAGAGCAGUUCCUCCAUUCGUGUUGGGACAAAAUUCAGAACUUUUGUUUGGAUCGGAAUUUCAUUUGAAUGAAUGAAAUUCUGAUCCGUGCUGCAGCUGCAUCUUGCAGCCGCUUAGUAGAUAGCUCCCUAAUUUCCACGGUAUUAGGGAGCUAUCUACCAAAAGGCUGAAAGACCAAGAUUGGUCUUUCAGGCAACUUUACUAAUACCAAGUAAAAAUUACAUAGUAUUAGUAAUUAGGGGCAUGUCUAGUAAACAGUGAGCAGCCUGUGGCCCGAUAUUUUCAAUUUUUAUAUAUAUAUAUAUAUAUAUAUAUAUAUUUUUUUUUUUUUUAUUGUUCUGUCUCUGUAUUAUAUGUCACUGUUUAUUUCUAUAUUACUACUUACUUAUAUUUCAUUUUAUAUAUUAUCUCUGUGGCGCCACCUUUGUCUCCUUCCUUAUACACAUAUACCCAUAGGGCCUGUGAGAGAGCCCAAUCCUUUAGGUGUGCUGCCUUUAUUUAAGAUUUUAAGCGCUGAUCCUUCUGUACACUUUUCACGUGGUUUAGAUGAAUAUUCUUGUUCUUGGGUUGAACAUUGGCUUAAGGAUAGAGUACAACCAGUUGUCAUUAAUGGUAAAUUUUCAAGCUGGACAAAAGUGGUAAGUGGUUUCCCUCAGGGUUCUGUUUUGGGGCCGCUUCUGUUUAACAUAUUUAUAAAUGAUCUUGCAAUAGGCAUUGCAAACCAUGUUUUAGUGUUUGCAGAUGACACUGACCUUUGUAAAGUAAUAAAACGUGAGCAGGAAAUUGCUUUGCUGCAGAGGGAUUUAGAUAGAUUGGGGGACUGGGCACUAAAAUGGCAGAUUAAAUUUAAUUCAGAGAAAUGCAAAGUUAUGCACUUCGGGGUCAAGAAUGCACAAGCAACUUACACCCUAAAUGUUAGUGAAUUAGGGAUAACCACACACGAGAAGGAUUUGGGAGUUGUUAUAGACAACAAAUUAGGCAGCAAUAUGCAAUGUAAGGCUUUGUCAUGUAUAAAUAGGGGCAUAAAUUCUUGGGAUGAAAAUAUAAUUUUGCCUCUUUAUAAAUCGCUGGUAAGACCACACCUUGAAUAUACGGUGCAAUUGUGGGCACCUGUUCUAAAAAAGGAUAUCAUGACACUAGAGAAAGUGCAGAUACGAGCAACAGAUUUGAUAAAAGGAAUGGAGCAUUUUAGUUAUGAAGAAGUUUGGAAAAACGGCACCUAAGAGGGAAUGUGAUAACAUUAUACAAAUAUAUUCGGGGGCCAGUACAAAUCAUUAUCUGGAAACCUAUUCAUAAACAGGGCUAUACAUAGGAUUUAGGCUGGAAGAAAGGAGAUUUCUUCUAAGGCAAAGAAAAGUUGUUGUUUUUUUACAGUAAGAACUACAAGGAUAUGUAAUUCUCUGCCUGAAUAUAAAAUCCUUCACUUUAUACACAUACAAUAGAUGAUGUUGUGGCUGAAUGUUUGGCAAAUGCUUAUUUAAAUUUACUUAUUAUUACCAAUAUGGAUAGCGCACUCUCCUGGAUCCCAGGGUGCAGCUGGGCCUGACGUUUGCCAAUCCACACAAUGUGAUUUGCAAAAAAUGUAAUGAUGGUCCAGGCACUCAUGUUCAGUCCAAUGGGCAGAUUUAUUGAAACAGAAUCAAAACAACGUUUCAGCCCACAGCAGGGCUGAAACAUUAGUUUGAUUCUGCUCCAAUACAUCUGCCCACUGGAUUAAACUUAAGUGCCUGCAACAUCAUUACUUAUUUAAAUUUACUUGUAAUGUUCUGGUACCUCAGAUAGGACAAUGUACUGCUCUCACUCAACAUUGAGUAUAUACUUCAAAAGCACUUAUACUGCGUCCUAAACCUCUUGAAGUACAUCAAUAAAACAGUAGUCAGUGCACGACUCAAAGAACACAGGGUACACAUUACAUUUGGAAUCGUGAUAGCGAGUGUUUUUGUCAAUCCUGAACAAAGGCCCAGAAGGUCGAAAUGUUGGAUCCUCUUGUUCUGUGAUGGCAGAUUACACAGAUAACUGCAUUGGUAAUGUAGUGGUGUUCAUUUAUUCUAUUUUGGUGGUGAUAUAAAAGUCACAGCAAUUGCAUGGAUAUUGUGGAGCUAUUAAUUUAUCCUUUUUAACGUGUUGGAAGAAUUGUCAUUAUCAAUUAUGUCCUGAAUCGCACAUUGAAAGCUAGAGUGAUACAUUACCUAAAAUACUUCUAAACAGGGGUCGGUCACAUUCUGCACUCCAGAUGUUGUAGACUACAUCUCCCAUAAUACUCUUACAGCCAUAAUGCUGGCAAAGUAUCAGGGGAGACGUAGUCCACAAUAUCUGGAGUGUUGAAGGAUGCUUACAUCUGUUCUAGACAGUAAUUGCAGCAUUUUCCAAAGUUAAACACAUGAUGUCCAUCCCGUGUAAUAGACCCGUCACAUAAAAUAAUAUCACCCCAAGCCUGUAGACACUUUUAUAUCAGUUGAUAUUUUACAUAUUUUGUAUCUCUAGAUAUUUUUUAUCCAUUAAACUAAUUCAAAUAAAUUAAAUGGAAUUUGCUGCUUAAAUAAUAAUUAUCAAUAAAGUACAGACAUUAAUUGGAUAAUUUGGUUUUAUUAGAGUAUGACAUUGAUGGGUAUAGAAAUAAAGCCCUGAGAUCUACUGAUGCAGAGGACAUACUGCAGACAAGGAAAGGCGUCUGUGCUGGGUACUCUUCUCUCUUUCAGCGCAUGUGCAGGUAAAAAGGACAGCAAAACAAUAUAUCAAUACAGUAAUUGCAAGUUCUGUGUAUGGUCUUGAUGUGGUAACAAGACAUUUCUUCCCACUUUUAGCACCCUGUUUUAAUUAGUGCAUGUUACACUGGGUUACCAACUGAAGUAGAGCUCUUACUAUAUUUUUUGCAUGUUCAUCGAUAUAGUAACACAGGAAAUAACUGACAUGUAUUGUGCUUUUACUGUUUCAACCUUAUUCAUAUGAUUGUGCCCCUAGUAGGGGGUGGCAGGAUACAUAAAUAGCAUUUUCACAACUAUGGUCUCAGGAAUACAUGUUUGUAUUCCUCACACUAUAGUGUUCCUUUAAGCAAAUUAAUGGAACAUUCUGGUUACCAUAACAACUUUAUCUAAAUGAAAAUGAUAUGAUGCUAGGAGGCCCCUGGGCGCUCUCUUUCCUUUAAGGGGUUAAACCUAUCUCACAUGGUUUAAACCCAAAGGCUUCCUCCUGCUCCAGAUCUCCAGGUGGCUCAGUGGCAAUGGUGUGUCAGGAAGUGCAGACUGACAUCAGGCAUGGGUGCCGCUGAUUGGCUAGAGUGGUCAGCUGACACUCUAAGCCAAUCGCUAUUUCCCGAUUCAUAAAAAUGUUUUACUUUUAGAGUGCCAGCUGACCAAUCUGCGGCACCCCUACCAACGGGUGUGCUUCCUGACACUCGGUAAAUAAAAGUGAACACAUUAACACUGAUAUUUUUUUUGACCUGGGGAGAAGAGAAGGUCCAAAGUUUUCCUGUGGUGUCCAGAAUGAAGUGGAGGGAUUACUUUACUUGUCCUUCCUGCUCUAAUCUUCAUUUCUUCUCCUUUAUUUGACACAGUCUUCUUUUUAUUCUGACACUGUGUUCUCUUCUCCUUGGCUCCUACUCCUCAUUUACCUUUCAGCUUCUUUUGUACCCUUCUGCUCAUUUCUCUUUCUGAUCUCUUUCUGCUACUUUUGCUCCCUUCUACUCCUUCUGACCAUUCCUGCUCCUUGCUGACCAUUCCUGCUACUUGCAGACCCUUCCUGCUCAUUUCUGUUCCUUUUCCUACUUUACCUUUGUGCUCCUUCUGCCCCUCCAGCUCCUUGCUGACCCUUUCUGUUUCUUGCUGCUCUUCCUAGCUCCUUCCUGACCCUUUCUGCACCUACUCCUACUUUACCUUUGUGAUCCUUCUGUCCCUUUCGGCUCCUUGCUGCCCCUUUCUGCUCCUUCUCCUACUUUACCUUUGUGCAACUUCUGAUUCUUUCUGCUCCUUUACCUUUGUGCCCCUUCUGUCCUUUCCUGCUCCUUGCUGACCCGUUCUGCUACUUGCAGACCCUUCCUGCUCAUUUCUUUUCCUUUUCCUAUUUUACCUUUGUGCUCCUUCUGCCCCUUCCAGCUCCUUGCUGACCCUUUCUGUUUCUUGCUGCUCUUCCCAGCUCCUUGCUGACCCUUUCUGCACCUACUCCUACUUUACCUUUGUGAUCUUUCUGUCCCUUUUGGCUCCUUGCUGCCCCUUUCUGCUCCUUUUCCUACUUUACCUUUGUGCAACUUCUGAUUCUUUCUGCUCCUUUACCUUUGGGCUCCUUCUGUCCUUUCCUGCUCCUUGCUGACCCUUUCUGCUGCUUGCUGCCCUUUCCAGCUCCUUGCUGACCCUUUCUGCUUCUUCUCCUACUUUACCUUUGUGCAACUUCUGAUUCUUUCUGCUCCUUUACCUUUGUGCUCUUUCUGACCAUUCCUGCUCCUUGCUGACCCUUCCUGCUGCUUGCAGACCCUUCCUGUUCAUUUCUGUUCCUUUUCCUACUUUACCUUUGUGCUCUUCUGCCCCUUCCAGCUCCUUGCUGCCCCUUUCUGUUUCUUGCUGCUCUUCCCAGCUCCUUGCUGACCCUUUCUGCGCCUACUCCUAUUCCUACUUUACUUUAUGCAACUUCUGAUUCUUUCAGCUCCUUUACCUUUGUGCUCUUUCUGUCCUUUCCUGCUCCUUGCUGACCCUUUCUGCUGCUUGUUGCCCUUUCCAGCUCCUUGCUGACCCUUUCUGCACCUUCUCCUACUUUACCUUUGUGCUCCUCCUGUCCCUUUCUGCUCCUUGCUGACCCUUCCUUCUCCUUGCUGCCCCUUUCUGCUCCUUCUCCUACUUUACCUUUGUGCAACUUCUGAUUCUUUCUGCUCCUUUACCUUUGUGCUCCUUCUGUCCCUUCCUGCUCCUUUCUGACCAUUUCUGCUACUUGCUGCCCCUCUGUGCUCCUUCUCCUACUUUACCUUUGUGCAACUUCUGUUUCUUUCUGCUCCUUUACCUUUGUGCUUCUUCUGACCCUUUCUGCUCCUUGCAGACUCUUCCUGCUCAUUGCAUACACUUCCUCCUCCUUGCUGUCCCUUCUCCUACUUUACCUUUGUACAACUUCUGAUUCAUUCUGCUCCUUUACCUUUGUGCUCCUUUUGUGCCUUCCUGCUCCUUGUUGACCUUUUCUGCUGCUUGCAGACCCUUCCUGCUCCUUUCUGACCCUUUCUGCUCCUUGCUGGCCAUUUCUGUUCCUUUUGCUCCUUCUCCUACAUUACCUUUGUGCACCUUCUGAUUAUUUCUGCUCCUUUACCUUUGUGCUCCUUCUGUCCCUUCCUGCUCCUUGCUACCCCUUCCUGCUCCUUGCUGACCCUUCCUGCUCAUUUCUGUUUCUUUCUUCUCCUUCUCCUACUUGACCUGUGUGCUCAUUCUGCCUCUUCCAGCUCAUUGCUGACCCUUUCAGCUCCUUGAUGUCCCUACCUGCUCAUUUUGGUUCCUGCUCCUUUCUGCUCCAUCUCCUACUUUACCUUUGUGCUCCUUCUGAUUCUUUCUGCUCCUUUACCUUUGUGCUCCUUCUGUCUCCUUGUGCUCCUUGCUGCCCCUUUCUGCUCCUUGCUGUCUCUUCUCCUACUUUACCAUUGUGCUCCUUCUGAUUAUUUCUGCUCCUUUACCUUUCUGCUCCUUGCAGGCCAUUCCUGCUAAUUUCUGUUCCAACCUGUUCCUCCUCCUAUUUUACCUUUGUGCUUCUUCUGCCUCUUCCAGCUCCUUGCUGCCCCUUUCUGUUCCUUGCUGCCCUUUCCAGCUCUUUGCUGACACUUUCUGUUGCAGACCCUUCCUGCUCCUUUAUGACCCUUUCUGCUCCUUGCUGGCCAUUUCUGUUCCUUUUGCUCCUUCUCCUACAUUACCUUUGUGAACCUUCUGAUUAUUUCUGCUCUUUUACCUUUGUGCUCCUUCUGUCCCUUCCUGCUCCUUGCUACCCCUUCCUACUCCUUGCUGACCCUUCCUGCUAAUUUCUGUUUCUUUCUUCUCCUUCUCCUACUUGACCUAUGUGCUCAUUGUGCCUCUUCCAGCUCAUUGCUGACCCUUUCUGCAGCUCCUAUAUCACUAUGACCUAAUUUACAAGAGCGAAUUGCAUGAUUUCGUUCACCAUGCAUUGCAUUCUUCAACUAAUUUGGUCAGUCACUUUAAAUUUGAUGCAAUGAAUAACAAAACAUUAUUGCAUUCAAAAACAAUAAAAAGUGCAGAAUCACUUAUUGACAUCUUGCACCUGGUCUAUGCAAUAAGCACAUGUUCAUGAUUGAUGUAUUUAUCUCUGUUUGUAGCAUUGCCGGCGUGCAGUGUAAAUCUGUGAGUGGAUAUGGUAAAGGUGUAUCGUACAAUGUAGGACAGAAAAUAUCUGGAGAGUCUAAUCAUGCCUGGAACAUGGUGUAUUUAGGAGGUGGAUGGCACUUGUUGGACAGUACAUGGGGAGCAGGUCACUCUGAUAACAGCGUAAGCUCGUUUACAUUUGAGUAAGUAAAUUCAUUGGAUAAACCAAACCAAUGCUUGCGGUAAUGUUACACAAUACAAUAGAAAUGCUUGAUAAUUACAACAAAAGAAAAUUGAAAGUGUCAUAUCUGCACUGAAUUAGAAUACAGAAUAGAUUAUGAUGUUAAUUAAUACGCAGUGCAUUUGUAUUUUUGUAUUUCAUACAUGAUGUUAUUAAUAUUAUUAUCAUUUAUAUAGCGCCAACAUAUUCCACAGCACUUUACAAUUAUACAAUUGGGAUAUCUGACAAGAAAUUUACAUAUGGAAAAUAACAGAGACAAAAAGUGAAGAAGUAUCUGCUCAAACGAGCUUACAAUCUAUGAGGGAUGGGUAAAGAUACACAAGAGAAAUAACAGUAUUUCAGAGGGUAUAUGGAUUGGUGGAUAAAUUAUUGUGACGAGACCAAUCUCGCCACAUUGCAUUGGAGAAGCCUGGUUGCUCGCCUGCUGCCUUUGGACUAUGGCCCCCUUUUAAAAGACUUUAUUUUUCCAUGCAGAAAAGCUGUAUUCGUGCUUUUCUGCCAGUUGUUCGGUAGUUUCAAUCUACCGAACAACCGUACGAAUGACUGGACCACCUGGGAGCGGGAGUGUGCCGGCAAUUAACCUCCCUGAAGCUGCGGUUAACCGCAGCUUAAUUGAAGAAUGCUGGGUGGCCGCCAUUCGUAUCCCGAACACGAGGUCGCGGCCAUUUUAAAUUAUACGGAUGAACAGCAGUGUUCGCCUCUAUUUUUAUGGAACUAAAAUCGGACACAGUUUUGCGCGAACACCGCUGAAGCCGCCGACCUCCCUUCUUGUUCGGUGAAAGUGCACGAACGGCCCGGUGUUCGGUAUUUUUGUUUGAAUGUCUUAUACCCCAGAUAGGAAUCCCAUGGAGCCCAUUCAUAUGAAACUGGCUCCAUGGCGAUUAAACUGUAUUCGUGUGGUCUGAGUGCCAUUCACCUAAUAAUGUGCACUCAGACCUGAGCUAUCUGGGGAUAUGUUACAUGUCUGUGGUUUAUGUAGUAAAUGUUAUUUUAUGUAUUUUAAAGUAUUAUGCUGGUUUUGUGUUCCCACAUGUGUAAUGGAGUUUUGCCUUUGUCUUGGGAGAUAAUUGAGUUACUUCCCAAUUAUCUCCCAGGGCAGAGGGGAGGAAGCCAGGAUGCAUUGUGGAAAUAUACUGUGACUGUGUGUCCUAUUUGUAUACUUGUCUGUCCCUUGUCACAGUCUCCCAUUUGGUCCCCUAGGGGAGUGUCCACCAGGUUGGAGACCUGCAUAAAAGCUGGGCAGGUAGCCCUCAUUAAACAGACCACUGCUUGACCCUCAACACGGAGCCUUGUCUCGUUCUUGGGGGGAUUCACUGUAUGCUGUUAGAGACUGAUUGCCAGGAGUGUAAGCUGUUCGUCUGCUUUUCCUGUUCGCCUACUAGCAGCUAUUCGUAUGGUUCCUGUUCGCUUAUUUGAAGUGCUACCUUAUUCCCUUGUAUGCCAUUCGGGAGUUUGGAGCAUUCACUUAUUGGCGGUUCGUGAGUUUUGGUGAUUCUACAGUAGCUGUGCCUGUCUCUGAAAGGGGGAUUAUCGUCUAAGCGGUUUUUUCCCCUUUUAUGCUAAACGGUCCGUUACAAUUGGUGGCAAGCGGCGGCAUCGUUCCUACAACCAGAAGGACAGCUACAGGAGACACCAUUUCUUUGGAUUUUACAAUUUGAGGGCAACGCAUGUCCCAGUACAGCGACCCUGACAGCACCAGCAUGGAACCAGCAGUGGAGUAUGACGGGGGUGCCAUGGAUGACCGAGAUGCAGUCCGUAAAGGCAUCUGGUACCAGGCACUGGGUAUUGUGGAGUACCAGCGGGGCAAGAGACUCCCCAAGGAAGACCAGCGGUUGCAGAAGCGAGUAGCCCCGCGGAUGCCCUUCCUGGGAGAGCAGCCCCUGGAGGAAUGGGUGAGGAAAUUGGAACACCUAGUAUGGCAGGAGUUGUGGCUAGAAGAUGCCUACCAGGCGCUCUGGUGGGAUGGGGCACAGUACCUACCCUGGACAGCCGAGCAUGACAAGCCAGAGGGAGAGGAGUUUGAUGGUCCUGGCUUGUUAUGGGAGUCGUUUUCAGAGCUCGAAUUUGGGAGCCCUACACAAGCCCGGUUCAGUGAUCUCUGGGCGUGGAGGGAGAGCAGGUAUGACUGGGACGACGCUCACAAAAUUGAGCAAGACCUGGUCCACCUGGUAACCCGGGAGAUGGAGCUAGAACAGGGCUACCAGCAGCUGUUUCAAUACAGCCAGAAGGCUCAGCAGGAGAGCAGCAUGACAGACCCAGAGCCAGACCCAUUCAGCUGGGAAGACAUUGUGGAUAUUUUCUGGGAAGAACCCCAGGUGGCCGGUAGAGAUGGCACCGAGGUCUCUCCACCGGUAUUGCAGGGAAUUGGGAGCCCGAGCUCCAUUCCCCAGCGGGAGAUAUUGCAGGGAAUUGGGAGCCUGAGCUCCAUUCCCCAGCGGCAGGCUGAGUUACAGGGGACAGGGAUAGUCGCUCCUGUCCCCCAGCAGCAGAAUGAAUUGCAGGGAAUUGGGAGCCCGAGCUCCAUUCCCCAGCGGGAGAUAUUGCAGGGAAUUGGGAGCCUGAACUCCAUUCCCCAGCGGCAGGCUGAGUUACAGGGGGCAGAGGUAGUUGUUCCUGCCCCCCAGCAGCAGAGUGAUAUGCCGGGAAGGCAGUGUAAAGUGCAGGGAGAGGAGAACAGCGGCCUCCCUCCCCAGCGGCAGGCCGAGUUACAGGGGGCAGAGGUAGAUGUUCCUGCCCCCCAGCAGCCAAGUGAUAUGCCGGGAAGGCAGUGGGAAGUCCAGGGAGAGGAGAGCAGUGUCCUCCCUCCCCAGCGGCAGUAUGAUACUUUGGGAAUUGGGAGCCCAGUCUCCAUUCCCCAGCGGCAGUAUGAUGCUUUGGGAAUUGGGAGCCCAGUCUCCAUUCCCCAGCGGCAGCACAGAUUAUUGGGAAUUGGGAGCCCAGUCUCCAUUGCCCAGCGGCAGAGUGUCCUACCGGGAAUAGAGAGCCCAGUCUCCUUUCCCCAGCAGCAGGACUCUGUAUUGGGAGCAGAGACAGUCGGUCUCCCUUCCCCACAGCUGGAAGUAUGUAUGGGAGAGGAGCUUGUUACCCCCUCUCCCCAGCGGCAGCUUAAUGUACAAAGGGGAGACAGUAAGCCCCACAACUGUGCAGAUGGGACCGUAGUCUCUACACUGCCAGCACAGGGGGUAGGGACGGUCGGUCCUGCCCCCCAGCGACAGGGCUGUUUAGCCAAAGGGGAGACAAUCUGUCUCCCCCUCCAGCAGCAGAGAUGGGUAACCAAAGGGGAGAUGGUCGGUCUCCAGCAGCAGGAUUGUGCAUCUAAAGGGAAGACAGUCAGUCUCCAGCAGCAGCAGCAGAGCGGUGUAUUUAAAGGGGAGACAGUCGGUCUCCCCCUCCAACAACCAGGCUUCCACCAGGCUACCCUCCCAGUAGCGCUGGCAACAGGGCAGAGUGCCGCUGGUCUCUGCCCACGCUGCAACCCACCAAGUCAGCGUACCCGUACCCAGCACAGCCGUGGUGAGGCACCUGGACAUGGACAAGCUUCCCCUUUACCCAGGUGUAGUAACCAUUUAUUGUGGGUGGGCUGUGCUGUUUAUUAUUUGUUGUGGAUGGGCUGCUGGACUAACAAGGGCACUGACCGGCAGGAGGUCAGAUACCCUGUUAGUCUGUUUGGAAAAGGGGAGAGAUGUGACGAGACCAAUCUCGCCACAUUGCAUUGGAGAAGCCUGGUUGCUCGCCUGCUGCCUUUGGACUAUGGCCCCUUUUAAAAGACUUUAUUUUUUGCAUGCAGAAAAGCUGUAUUCGUGCUUUUCUGCCGGUUGUUCGGUAGUUUCAAUCUACCGAACAACCGUACGAAUGACUGGACCACCUGGGAGCUGGAGUGUGCCGGCAAUUGACCUCCCUGAAGCUGCGGUUAACCGCAGCUUAAUUGAUGAAUGCUGGGUGGCUGCCAUUCGUAUCCCGAACACGAGGUCGCGGCCAUUUUAAACCAUACGAAUGAACAGCGGUGUUCGCCUCUAUUUUCAUGGAACUAAAAUCGGACACAGUUUUGCGCGAACACCGCUGAAGCCGCCGACCUCCCUUCUUGUUCGGUGAAAGCACAUGAGUGACCCGGUGUUCGGUAUUUUUGUGUGAAUGUCUUAUACCCCAGAUAGGAAUCCCAUGGAGCCCAUUCGUAUGAAACUGACUGUAAAGACUUUGGCUCCAUGGUGAUUAAACUGUAUUUGUGUGGUCCGAGCGCCAUUCACUUAAUAAUGUGCACUCAGACCUGAGCUAUCUGGGGAUAUGUUACAUGUCUGUGUUUUAUGUAGUAAAUGUUACUUUGUGCAUUUUAAAGUAUUAUGCUGGUUUUGUGUUCCCACGUGUGUAAUGGAGUUUUGCCUUUGUCUUGGGAGAUAAUUGAGUUACUUCCCAAUUAUCUCCCAGGGCAGAGGGGAGGAAGCCAGGAUGCAUUGUGGGAAUAUAAUGUGACUGUGUGUCCUGGAUUGCUGCUUGUCUGUCCUGUGUUACAGUCUCCCAUUUGGUCCCCUAGGGGGAGUGUCCACCAGGUGGGAGACCUGCAUAAAUACUGGGCAGGUAGCCCUCAUUAAACAGACCACUGCUUGACCCUCAACACGGAGCCUUGUCUCGUCUUUGGGGGAUUUACUGUAUGCUGCUAAGGACUGAUUGCCAGGAGUGUAAGCCGCUUGGAAGCUUUUCCUGUUCGCCUGCUAGCAGCUAUUCGUAUGGUUCCUGUUCGCUUAUUUGAAGUGCUACCUUAUUCCCUUGUAUGCCGUUCGGGAGUUUGGAGCAUUCACUUAUUGGCGGUUCGUGAGUUUUGGUGAUUCUACAGUAGCUGUGCCUGUCUCUGAUAGGGGGAUUAUCGUCUAAGCGUUUUUUUCCCCUUUUGUGCAAAACGGUCCGUUACAAUUAUCUGUGUAGAAAUUACUUAGUAACAUUGGUGAACUGAACAGUGGCAGGAGAGAGAGAGAUAGAGAUAGAGAGCUGGGCUAUGAAGGCGAAGGAACUGGUGAAGGCAGUGAAAUUAGAGAAUUGACACCCAGGAAGAUGGUAAGCUUUCCUAUCUAGUUGUAUAUUUAGUGAUUUGUUAAAUGACUGGAGGCUAGGGUAGCAUGAGGCAUCCAUUGGAAAAAUUCUGCAGAGGAGAGUUGACAAUGUAGGAAUGAGCAGAUGACAGUCGAAGAUUGUGGCGGAACCAGCCUCGCCACUGGGCAUUGGAGAAGACUGAUUGCCGGCCUCCUGCCCUGUGACUAUGGCCCCAUGUUGAAAGGAUGGAUUUUCCCCUGCAAAGACCCAAAAGCUGGGUCUUUCGGUACUUUCCCUAUGUGAGCAGUGUUACCCAGAUAGCUAUGCCAUGGAGCCCAUUUGUAUAAUGAAAGACUAUGGAAAAGACUUUGGCUCCAUGGCAAUUGAACUGUAUGUGUGUGCUCUGAGCGCCAUUCAGUAAUAAUGUGCGCUCAAAUCUGAGCUAUCUGGGGAUAUGUUGAAUGUACCUGUUUUGUGCAAUGGCUGCACAGUUAUAUGUUUUUAUGUGUUUUAUUGUCUUUUGCUGCCAUGUGGCUAAUGGAGUUUUGCCUCUGUCCUGGAGAUAAUUGGAUUACUUCCCCAAUUAUCUCCAGGAUAGAAGACUCUGUGGAACUGGUUUUGGGCAGAAAAGCAAUGCUGCAUUUGGUCAAAUAGGACUUUUCCUUAACUUUUGAACCACUGGACCAAUAUGUAUGAUUUUGACAUAUGUAUUGUAUUUGGAGUAUGCUGAUUCUGAAAAUGUAAGUUUUAUGUGAAUGUGAGGCAUACUUUUCAAGUUAUGAAUAAUGUGGAAAAACUGUAUUUCUCUGGCUGUGAUAAUUAGAUUAACCAUUGUGUUCAGUAAUCAUCUCACAGCCAGAGGGGAGGAUUUUGUGUGGGAGUGACUUUCUGUAAUGUAUGUGUGUUAUUGGUUGUUAUGUAAAACCCUGUGGGCAGUACUAAGUUUGUGGAUUGGGAAUAAAAGAGGCUGUAUGUGCCAGUCCAGUCAGUUCCUGCUUAACCCUCAAAGUGAAGUGUCGUCUCAUUAUUGGGGGAGGAUUUAUUGUAUGCUGUUCCAGUUUGACUGCUGGAGUGUAAACCUAUUCGCAUGGUUUUUCCUAUUCAGCUGUAUACAACAUUCAUAUGCUUGAGAGAAGGUAUACGCUUCUUCGGUUCGGUGAUUGUGGUGCUGGCCAGAGUGCUUGGAGUCCUCAGGAAACGCUAGGAGCAUCCUUUAACGGAGGUACCCAGUCGGGGUGCCAGGUGAUCCGUUACAAAGAUAAUUUCCAGAGUGAAUGGGAGGGGAAGGGAUACAUUUGUUGAGUAAAGACAAAAUUUAUUGUGGAGUGAAGUUAGUGAGGCCUCUGUAGGUUAGUGUUAUUUGCAGCUUUCCCAAUUUGCUCAAACAGCUGUUUGUACUCAUAAAUAUUAACAUUAGGGGGUUUAUGACAUAGCCCAAGCAAUAAUUGAUUUCCCUUCUUUUUCCCCAAGUAUCCAUAAAGCUUCCACAUUUUUCUCAUCACAUUCCACAUGCUUGAGAUAUGGCUUUAACUCAUGGUUAACAUACAAACAUACCCCACCACCCUUCCUAUUUUUUUCUAUCCUUCCUAAAUAAUAUGUAACCAUUUAAAUUAGCUGUCCAGUCAUGUGUCUCAUCCCACCAUGCUUCUGUUAUGCCUAUUAUGCCAUAUAGCUUAGUGUACGCUAUUGCCUCUAGUUCCCCCAUUUUGUUAUUUAGGCUCCUUGCAUUUGUAAGCAUACAUUUAAUAUCAUCACUAGUACCUUGUACAUUUUUUUAGUGUUACAUGCCUCCUCUGUUCAGAUCUUGCCCCUUCCCCAUCUCUACCCCCCUUGUACAGAGCUAAAGCCGAUCUCCAUUUUGUAGAUUUCUACGUCCCUCCCCCUACCACUAGUUUAAUAUCUCCUCCAACCUUCUAGCCUUCUUGUCCCCCAGCACUGCAGGCUAUUUAGGUGCAAUCCAUCAUGACUAUACAGAUUGUACUCAGCUCAGUACUCUAAAAACCCCAAACCCACCUUCCUACACCAAGACUAGUGAUGUCGCGAACCCGAAAUUUUCGGUUCGCGAACGGCGAACGCGAACUUCCGCAAAUGUUCGCGAACCGGCGAACCGCCCGAAACGCCAUUGACUUCAAUGGGGAGGCGAAUUUUAAAACACACAGGGACUCUUCUGGCCACAAUAGGGAUGGAAAAGUUGUUUCAAGGGGACUAACACCUGGACUGUGGCAUGCCGGAGGGGGGAUCCCAUGGCAAAACUCCCAUGGAAAAUUACACAGCUGAUACAGAGUCUGGUUUUAAUCCACAAAGGGCAGAAAUCACCUAACAUUCCUAAAUCACAAUCAAUAUGGAUUGACACCUGACAUAUGACAUAUGACACCUGACAUAUGGAUUGACACCUGUCCUAAGGUCCCUGAUACACACUGACACAGAGCAGAAUAGGGACUGUUCCCCCUACAUCGGGUCACUUGGCAGAUAUGGAUUGACACCUUGUUACAAACUGCUAUUUGUAACUGGCCCUUUAAAUGGCAAAUUGCCCUGCUUCCCUGGGUUGUGGAGAAGCCUAUUUGCCAGCCUCCUCCCGCAUGACUAUGGCCCCUGGGAGAUUGUGAAAAUGUAUGCACUUUUAUUUGGUGUGUAUGGCCCUUUAAGACUGUCGGUGGGCAUAUUGGGGCUUAUGGACUCUUUAUGUGACUGGUGCUGGCCCUUUAAACACCUUUUUUGGGACAUCAGGAAGAUUGGGACACUGCCCCUUUAAGGCCGUGUCCCCAGACUUGUUGGGGACACGGCCCCUUUAAGACGGUGUCCCCUGUGUCCCCAGACCUGGUGCAAACCCUUUGUGCCUGCCUUGCUAUUUCCCACUUGGUUCAGUAAAUGGGAAAUUAUUUCAGCUGCAGAGACUAAGUCCCAUUCGGCGAUGGGACUUAGUCUUUUUCAGCCGCUUUUCAGCCUUAUUUCAGUUGCAGAGACUAAGUCCCAUCUCGGCCAUGGGACUUCAGUCUUUUUCAGCCGCUUUUUCAGCCUUAUUUCAGUUGCAGAGACUAAGUCCCAUCUCGCAUGGGACUUGUAGUCUUUUUCAGCCGCUUUUUCAGCCUUAUUUCGGCUGCAGAGACUAAGUCCCAUUCGCGAUGGGACUUAGUCUUUUUUUCAGCCGUUUUUUUCAGCCUUAUUUCAGCUGCAGAGACUAAGUCCCAUUCGCCAUGGGACUUAGUCGUUUUUUCAGCCUGAAAUAGACCGACCUCACAGCCCAAAUCUAUGGAACUGUUUUGGGCAGGAAAAUGUGCUUGCAGUCGGUCAUAAAGGGACUUCCAGCUAACUUUUUAACCCCUGGAUGGAUUUGGCUGAUUUUUGGUUAUGUUUAUGUUUUAAGUGUGCUGAUUCCAAAUAUGUAAUUAUGAAGAUGGAUGUGUAGUUUUAAAGUUACAGGGUAUGGCUAAAAACUGUAUUUUUACUGCCUGUGUUUAAUUAUGUUAAUCUCUUCCCAAACGUCAUUUCGUUCAAAGUGAGAGAAUGUUAAAAAAAAAUAUUUUUGUUCGGAGUGUGAGAAAUGCUUUUCAGCCGCUUCUAAUCUUAAGCAUCAUUUGAGGAGCCAUACAGGAGAGAAACCUUAUUUGUGGUGUGUUUAGUAUUGUUCAGAUCAGUUUAAUACCUUCCGCGUCUCCUAUCAGUGGACGUGUAUAUGGCAGCCAUUUUAGGAACCAUACACCUGGGACCCGAGCAAGGUCACCUCGUUCAACAGGCGACAACAUUUGUCCCUGGAAAACUAUCCUGGACAUUCUGUACAAUUUGUAUGGAUAUGGCAGUGAUUUCUGCAACAGGGAGAUGGAAGAAGAUGCUUGGUCGGUCCUCUUAAUUCAAAUUUGGGGCACUGCGCGGUCAAGCUAAUGUGCCACCAGAUAGGAGUGGUGUGUUUAGUAUUGUUCUGAUCAGUUUAAUACCUUCCANNNNNNNNNNNNNNNNNNNNNNNNNNNNNNNNNNNNNNNNNNNNNNNNNNNNNNNNNNNNNNNNNNNNNNNNNNNNNNNNNNNNNNNNNNNNNNNNNNNNUUAACAAUGAUUGGUUAAAUAAAUCUGUUAAUGGUUUUGCUAGUACACCACUAAGCUCUUUUAAUAGCUUUGGGUGUAUUCCAUCAGGUCCAUUGACUUAUUUGUCUUUACUUUUGACAGUUGAAAUAGAACCUCUUCCUCUGUAAACUCACGUGUAAUAAAUGACUCAUUUAUCCUUUUUCUCAACUGAGGUCCCUUUCCUUCAUUCUCUUCUGUAAAUACAGAACAAAAAUAUUCAUUGAGGCAGUCAGCCUGACCUUUAUCUUCUUCUACAUACCUUCCUUCUUUUGUUUUUAAUCUAACUAAUCCUUGUUUUACUUUUCUUUUCUCAUUUAUGUAUCUAAAAAAUGUUUUAUCCCCCUUUUUUACUGACUGUGCUAUUUUCUCUUCUGUGUGUGAUUUGGAAGCUCUUAUAACUUGCUUAGCCUCUUUCUGCCUAAUCUUAUAGAUCAUUUUGUCUCCCUCACUCUGGGUUUUUUUUAUAAUUCCUAAAUGCUAACUUUUUGUUUUUAACUAUUUUGGCCACAUCUGCGGAGUACCACAGUGGUUUCUUGAAUUUUUUGCUUUUACUGACAAGCCUAAUGCAAUUUUCUGUUGCCUUCAAUAGUGCAACUUUUAAAUAAUCCCAUUUCUCUUGGACUCCAUUUAAAUUGCUCCAGUCUGAUAAUGACUCCUCUACCCAUAUUCUAAUUUUAGAAAAGUCUGUUUUUCUAAAGUCUAAAACUUUUGUUUUUGUGUGGUGUGACUCAGUCACUGUUCUUAUAUUAAACCACACUGACUGAUGAUCACUGGAUCCUAAACUUUCACCUACAGUAACAUCUGAUACCAAAUCUCCAUUUGUUAACACUAAAUCUAGUAUGGCCUCUUUACGAGUUGGCUCCUCAACAACUUGUUUUAGAGACAAUCCCAGUAGGGAGUUUAGAAUAUGUGUGCUCCUGGCACAAGUAGCUAAUUUUGUUUUCCAAUUUACAUCAGGAAGAUUAAAGUCACCCAUGAUGAUAACUUCCCCCUUCAUUGUCAUUUUAGCUAUUUCCUCAACUAGUAGAUUAUCUAACUCUUCAAUUUGUCCUGGGGGCCUAUAAAUCACACCUACACGAGUUACUGUGUGAUUACCAAAUUCUAACGUAGCCCAAACGGACUCUAUGUUUGCCUCACUAACUUUUAUUAGGCUAGAUUUUAUGCUAUCCUUCACAUACAAGGCCACCCCUCCCCUUUCUUGCCUUCCCUAUCUUUCCUAUAUAAAGAGUACCCUGGUAUUGCUAUGUCCCAGUCAUUUUUCUCAUUGUACCAUGUCUCAGUAACAGCGACUAAAUCUACACUAUCAGUUGCCAUUAUUGCCACAAGUUCAUGGAUCUUAUUCCCUAAACUGCGAGCAUUUGUAGACAUGACUCUAAGCUUAUCAUUUUUUAACACACUUGCUACAGGCACCUUCUGUCCUUGUUUUGGGGGACAAUUGGAUUGAUGUUUUAUCACCCUUUUGUCCCCCCCUCCUAGUUUAAAUACAUCCUAGCAAAACCUCUGAACUGCUCACUGAGAACAUUUGUUCCCUUUUGAGAAAGAUGCAAACCAUCUUUUUUGUACAGCUUAUCUCCAUUCCAAACAGAGCUACCAUGAGAAAUAAAGCCAAAUCCUUGCUCCCGACACCAUUCACCAAGCCACAAAUUAAAGUCCCUAAUACGCAUCCGCCUGUCGUUCUGAGUGUUAUGCACAGGCAGAACUUCAGAGAAUGACAGUGUGGAAGCAACCUGCCGUAUAUCAUUGGCAAAAACACUAAAAACUUCCUUAACCUCUGAAACCUCAUUGCAAGCCAAGUCAUUUGUCCCUAGAUGGACAAGUACAUCCAAUUCCCCUUCCUGCUUUGCUUGCUUAACAAUAUUACAGAUACGUCUCCUGUCUCUGUGAGCAGUAGCUCCGGGAAGACACCUCACAAGACCACCAUUGUCCAUCUCCACACCUCUUAUAAUGGAAUCACCCAACAACAACUGCUUUCUAUUAGGCCUCACCAUAGUCUCCAAGGCGGUCUCAACAACACCACUAGCCUCAAUGCCUCUCUCCACAACACCACUAGCCUCAGUGCCUCUCUCCACAACACCACUAGCCUCAGUGCCUCUCUCCACAACACCACAAGCCUCAGUGCCUCUCUCCACAACACCACAAGCCUCAGUGCCUCUCUCCACAACACCAUUACACUCUGAAAGUGCAGAAAAUGAAUUAUGAAGAGCAACAGACUGUGCAAAAUGCCUUUUAUCCACAACUCUAAGUCUACCAGAUCCUACAGAAAUCCAUCUGCCUUUCCUAGCAUGUCUCUGCGGCAGUGGCUUUGCAGCAGUUCCAGUCUGAGUUUCUACACCAGAUAAUUUACAAAUCUCAGACUUCAAAAAUACAAUCUCCUGCCGCAAGAUAGAGAACUGUCUACAGAUUAGACAACAACCAAACCUCCAAAAAGUGGAACGUGAAACAAAUGCAUAGCAAUUGUUACACUGAACUAAGCCUGCCAUUCCAAUUAUGAGAAUAAUUUAAAUCUAACAAAUCUUAACUUUUUUCUUUAUCCUCCUGAAUACCUCAGAUUACCUCCAGGUUAUCUCCAGAAUAUCUCCAACUAGACACUUAGAAACAGCACUUGGAAGUAGCCCCAAGCUAUAUUAGACAAGCUAAUGAGACCAAGCCUUAUAUAACUCCUUAAAUCACCGCCCACUAGGAAUGUUUACCCAACUAGCUUGUUAACAACGUGUGCGGCUGUAACCCCAUUUCUCUAUGCUAUCAUGCACUUUAUCAUUUAAGGAGUGUGGCAUAUAAAUGGAGCAAAUAUACAUUGAUCAUCCACAACAUUAAAACCACCUGACUAAUAUCGUGUAGGUCCCCCUUGUGCUGCCCAAACACCUCUGAUAUGUUGAGGCAUUGACUCCACAAGAAUUCGGAAUGUGUAAGGUGGUAUCUGGCACCAAGACAAUACCAGCAGAUCCUUUAAGUCCUGCAAGAUUCAAGGUGGAUCCUCCAUGGAUCAUUCCAACACAUCCCACAGAUUCUCAAUCACAUUAAGAUCUGGGGAAUUUGGAGGCCAAUGGAAAACUUUAAACUCUUUGUCAUGUUCCUCAGACAAUUCCUGAACAAAUUUUGCAGUGUGGGAGGGUGCAUUAUACUGCUGAAAGUGUCCAUUGACAUCAGGGAACUCCACUGCCAUCAAGAGGUGUACGUGGUCUGCAACAAUUUCUAGGUAGGUGGUAUGUCUCAAAGUAACAUCUACAUGAAUGCCAGGACCCGAGGUUUCCCAGCAGAACAUUGCUUCCACUGGCCUGCCUUUUUCCCAGAGUGCAUUCUGCUGUCAUCUCUUCCCCAGGUAAAUGACGCACCCGGCCAUCCACCUGAAACAUGACUCAUCAGACCAGACAACUUCCUUCCAUUGCUCCAUGGUCCAGUUCUAACACUCACAUCUCCAUUGAAGCUGCUCUCAGAGAUGGACAGUGGUCAUCAUGGGCACUCUGAUUGAUCUGGGGUUACGCAGCCCCAUACACAGCAUACUGCAAUGCACUGUGUGUUCUGACACAAUUCUGUCAUGGCCAGCAUUACGUUUUUCAGCAAUUUCAGCUAUAGUAGCUCUUUGUGUGUUCGGACUAGCAUUCACUCUCCAUGUGCAUCAAUGAGCCUUGGGCACCCAUGACCCUGACACCUGUUCACAGGUUGUCCUUCCUUGCACCACUUUUGAUAGGCAACACCCCAUAAGACUUGCCAUUUGGAGAUUACUUUUGACUAUUUGGCCCUUGUCAAAGUCACUCAGAUCUUUUUGUUGCCAAUUUAUCCUGAUUCUAACAACCUCAAGAACUGACUGUUUAGUUUCUGCCCAUCCUUUGCAGGUAGGAUUUAUUAAUCUGUAUGUGGUUUUAAUGUUGUGGCUGAUCAGUGUAAAAAGACAGAAUAACAUUAUUUGGAAAGCGAAGAGAAAUUUAUGUCAAUGCAUAUACUGCACACAGGGGUUAGUGAGCCUUAACUUGCUUCUAAACCUACUGCAUUAAAACCUUUCACCCACAGCGAAAUCCACAUAUUGUGCUGUACAACUAUUUCCAAAUAUGGUGCAUUUAAAUGGCAUUGUCAAAUUAUACAAAUGUUUCUUUAGUAUUACUGGGGACUUAACUUAACAAUGAAAGAGUACCUAAAUCAGAUGCAGGGAUUAUUUAGGAACUCACUCAGAGCUCCAUCCUAUAUAAUUGACAACUAUGCCAAAUACUCUGUACCCCUGUAGGUCAUAGCUAAAAGCCAGUGUGACCUAUUAGACUACCUGAAUGGGAUCUUCUAGCUAAGCACAUUACUCAUUCCAUUCUUGUUGCAGUAAAUGGCUUAUGAAUGGAGCAGUUGAGUUAGCUGGAACAUACCAUUCAGACACAUUAGGGGUGCAGUUAUGCAAACUUACCAUACACAUUUUUCAUACAGCCAUCCCACUGUGAAAAACAAAAUUGCAAUAAUUUUCCAUUAGCAAUUGGAUUUCUGUUAUAUGGCUCUGGACCAGAAUAGGGUCUCUUCGUCACUUUGUCUUCCUCAUUCUCUUCAGCUACCUUGGCAUUAACAUAGCAGUCAUUAUAGCUCUUAUCCCCAUACACUAGUCGAGACUUAAUGAGGGUAAAACAAGUACUAAUUUAUUAGCACAACACACACCUAUUUAUACAUGGUUAAUGUGUAUUCAUCAUCCAUUGAGUGAUCCACAAAGUCUAUGCUGAUAAGACUUAAUGAGGUCAGUUCAGGCUAAUGACAUUUCCUACCUGCUGUAUCAUCCCGAGACAGAAAUGCAAGGGUAUCCAUGCUUGUGGGACACUGUCCAUAGUCUGUGGAAAGGGGGUUGGCCUCCAAGACCUUCCAUGAGCCAGGGUAACAUAGACUUCCCUCACAAUUCUAAAGUGACAAUAAAGGAGCAAACAUGUUUUUAUAAUUGUAUAUAUAAAGAGGAUUUCCCUAAUUAUAACUUAUUGCCUUGCUUUUGUUCCUAGUGAAAGGAAAGGUCUCUAUUACCAUUGAGAGCAGCCGCCAUAUGCUAUUCCUAUUUGACCUAAAUGAAACAGAGAAAACGGGUCUUGUGAGGUUAACAGACUACAGAACAACGUUUGAUAUUUAUCCUGAGAAGACUGGAAAACAUAAACUAAAUAUUUAUGCAAAAUCCCAUGAUUCAGAGGGAGAUUACCACUGUGUUUCAAGUUACGUUGUAGAUUGUAAAUCUUUAGAUACCUCCAUGAAGAUCCCUAAGUGUCUCCAAAUACCUGCAGGUCCAAGUUGGUUAUCAGAGAAAGCAGGACUUUUUCAACCCUCUCACCCAGACCCAAUAAUUUACACUAAGGACGGCUCUUUCACUGUCAGCUUUACAAUGAAGCAGAAUUUGAGUCUUUUUUGUACUUUGAGCUCUGAUGACCUGCAGAUGACUUCAGAGAUGCAGC